GCUGUAGUUGCGGCAGGUGUAGCAGCCGCAGUCCGGGUCCAGCGGGCCGGUGUCGCGGCGGCUGGCGCUGUUGCGGAUCUUGACCGUGCCGCGGUG
rnacentral:tRNA from 1 species